GGCUCAGAUUGAACGCUGGCGGCAGGCCUUAACACAUGCAAGUCGAGCGGAUGAAGGGAGCUUGCUCCUGGAUUCAGCGGCGGACGGGUGAGUAAUGCCUAGGAAUCUGCCUGGUAGUGGGGGAUAACGUCCGGAAACGGGCGCUAAUACCGCAUACGUCCUGAGGGAGAAAGUGGGGGAUCUUCGGACCGCAUGCUAUCAGAUGAGCCUAGGUCGGAUUAGCUAGUUGGUGGGGUAAAGGCCUACCAAGGCGAAGAUCCGUAACUGGUCUGAGAGGAUGAUCAGUCACACUGGCACUGAGACACGGUCCAGACUCCUACGGGAGGCAGCAGUGGGGAAUAUUGGACAAUGGGCGAAAGCCUGAUCCAGCCAUGCCGCGUGUGUGAAGAAGGUCUUCGGAAUGUAAAGCACUUUAAGUUGGGAGGAAGGGCAGUAAGUUAAUACCUUGCUGUUAAGACGUUACCAACAGAAUAAGCACCGGCUAACUUCGUGCCAGCAGCCGCGGUAAUACGAAGGGUGCAAGCGUUAAUCGGAAUUACUGGGCGUAAGCGCGCGUAGGUGGUUCAGCAAGUUGGAUGUGAAAUCCCCGGGCUCAACCUGGGAACUGCAUCCAAAACUACUGAGCUAGAGUACGGUAGAGGGUGGUGGAAUUUCCUGUGUAGCCGUGAAAUGCGUAGAUAUAGGAAGGAACACCAGUGGCGAAGGCGACCACCUGGACUGAUACUGACACUGAGGUGCGAAAGCGUGGCGAGCAAACAGGAUUAGAUACCCUGGUAGUCCACGCCGUAAACGAUGUCGACUAGCCGUUGGGAUCCUUGAGAUCUUAGUGGCGCAGCUAACGCGAUAAGUCGACC
rnacentral:rRNA from 1 species